rnacentral:rRNA from 1 species
CCUACGGGUGGCAGCAGUGGGGAAUAUUGCACAAUGGGCGCAAGCCUGAUGCAGCGACGCCGCGUGAGGGAUGACGGCCUUCGGGUUGUAAACCUCUUUCAGCAGGGAAGCGGUACCUGCAGAAGAAGCGCCGGCUAACUACGUGCCAGCAGCCGCGGUAAUACGUAGGGCGCAAGCGUUGUCCGGAAUUAUUGGGCGUAAAGAGCUCGUAGGCGGUUUGUCGCGUCUGCUGUGAAAACCUGAGGCUCAACCUCGGGCUUGCAGUGGGUACGGGCAGACUAGAGUGCGGUAGGGGUGACUGGAAUUCCUGGUGUAGCGGUGGAAUGCGCAGAUAUCAGGAGGAACACCGAUGGCGAAGGCAGGUCACUGGGCCGCACUGACGCUGAGGAGCGAAAGCAUGGGGAGCGAACAGGAUUAGAUACCCUUGUAGUC